UAAAGAAGCGACUGGGAAUUACACCACACAGCAAAUCUAAGGAAGAGAUUGCUAAUUCAGCUUUGCCAGUUACACUUUCUCAAGGCCCAUAAUUAAAAAUGAGCUUCAGGGCACUAGCAGAGAAGUCAGAUUUGCUCUGAGCCUGAGGGGCUGUAAAUUGGCUGCUUUUGCAAACUGCUUUCACUCUUUUAGGUCAAGAGGGGAAGUAUUAAUGCCUUUGUGUGGUAGAAUAAAUGCUCCCAAAGUGACUUGAAAGAAGAGAUUUUCCUCCCUAAACCUCUAAGAUUACAUAUAAAGGCAGAAUUGGCUUUGGAAGAAGUUAGGUUUGCUGUGAAAAUUACAGGCAUUGAUGUAAGGCUGUCCACAUAUUGAUUCACGUGAUCCUCAAGAUAACAUUAUGAAGUAGUUGCAGGUCCUUCUAGUUGUGGGAUGUGGGACGCCACCUCAACGUAGCCUGACGAGAGGUGCCAUGUCCGCCGAGGAUCCAAACCCUGGGCCACCGCAGCAGAGUGCGCGAACUUAACCACUCGGCCACAGAGCCGGCCCCUCUUUUUUCUUUUCUUUUUAAUUUUUUUAUUGCAGUAACAUUGGAUUAUAA
rnacentral:lncRNA from 1 species